rnacentral:rRNA from 1 species
ACAUCCAGCGAACUUGGCAGAGAUGCCUUGGUGCCUUCGGGAACGCUGAGACAGGUGCUGCAUGGCUGUCGUCAGCUCGUGUUGUGAAAUGUUGGGUUAAGUCCCGNAACGAGCGCAACCCUUAUCCUUUGUUGCCAGCGAUUCGGUCGGGAACUCAAAGGAGACUGCCGGUGAUAAACCGGAGGAAGGUGGGGAUGACGUCAAGUCAUCAUGGCCCUUACGAGUAGGGCUACACACGUGCGACAAUGGCGCAUACAAAGAGAAGCGACCUCGCGAGAGCAAGCGGACCGCAUAAAGUGCGUCGUAGUCCGGAUCGGAGUCUGCAACUCGACUCCGUGAAGUCGGAAUCGCUAGUAAUCGUGGAUCAGAAUGCCACGGUGAAUACGUUCCCGGGCCUUGUACACACCGCCCGUCACACCAUGGGAGUGGGUUGCAAAAGAAGUAGGUAGCUUAACCUUCGGGAGGGCGCUUACCACUUUGUGAUUCAUGACUGGGGUGAAGUCGUAACAAGGUAGGCGUAGCGAG